rnacentral:rRNA from 1 species
AACGAACGCUGGCGGCAUGCCUAACACAUGCAAGUCGAACGAGACCUUCGGGUCUAGUGGCGCACGGGUGCGUAACGCGUGGGAACCUGCCCUUAGGUUCGGAAUAACUCCCCGAAAGGGGUGCUAAUACCGGAUAAUGUCUUCGGACCAAAGAUUUAUCGCCUUUGGAUGGGCCCGCGUUGGAUUAGCUAGUUGGUAGGGUAAAAGCCUACCACGGCGACGAUCCAUAGCUGGUCUGAGAGGAUGAUCAGCCACACUGGGACUGAGACACGGCCCAGACUCCUACGGGAGGCAGCAGUGGGGAAUAUUGGACAAUGGGCGAAAUCCUGAUCCAGCAAUGCCGCGUGAGUGAUGAAGGCCUUAGGGUUGUAAAGCUCUUUUACCCGGGAUGAUAAUGACAGUACCGGGAGAAUAAGCUCCGGCUAACUCCGUG